GAACCGUUGAUUCGCACAAU
rnacentral:snRNA from 1 species